rnacentral:sRNA from 1 species
GUGUGAGUGUGUGUAUGUGUGUGUGUGUGUGUGCAUGUACGUUCGAUCAUCCAGAUGAUGGCAGAGAAAUGUGAGUACAAGAAUCGAGGCAGCCUCUGAACCUUGAGCUGAGGUUGUGGCUCAGUUGGUAGAGAGCUUACCUAGCAUGCCCAAAACCAGGGGUUUGAAGCCCAGUACCCUCUAAACCAUGUGUGUUGGAGCAUGCUUGCAAUCCCAGGGAUUGGAAGCAGAAGGAUCAGAUGUUGGGGACCAGGCUAGGGUACACGAUAGCCUAUCUAGAAAACAAAACAAACACAAACAGGCUUCUCUAAGAAAGGCUUCACAGAAGCUGAAGCACCCAAUGCCUUCACAUGCUGUGCUGGUUCUGGUCACUCCCGAACAGUGAUGUCAGCAUAGUACUCGUGUCCAUUCCUCUGUGGUGAAUGUGGAUAGUGUUCAACUGAGGACAAUAGCUGGGUGUGUGGACGACAUCCAUGUGUCAGUGGUGCUCAGCAAGGAUGCAGAGGUCAUAUGCAUGGGUGAGUGGGUGACAGCAGAACAGAGUGAUGCUUUACUGUUGGAGGAUAUUAUAGAGGCGGGUAAAGGUAUCCCUUAUUUCUCUGUGAGAUGAUUGGAGACAGGUAUCAUCUACAUGUCUGAAGGUAACAUCAGGUUGAAUUUAGGCCAUAUUUAAGUUUAAAGAACACCCGAGUAACUGUGGUGACAUUGGAAUAAGCAAGGACAAUGACCAAGGCUAAAUAACAUCUCUGUGUGUGAUAUCUUCAGGAACCAUGGGUUACAUGCAGAGCUCUGUAUGUGAACGGGACAAUAAUCACAGUCAUUCUGACAGAGGAUGAGGUAGUGAUACCAAGAUGUGUGGGUACUAUUCAAGUGAGCAUAAAUGUCAGAUGUGUUAACACAGUUAAGAUGUUCAUCUUGAUUGUGUGAAAUAGCCGAGAACUGAGUGGACAUACAGUCUUUGCUGAAAACAUCUGAGUGCUUAAGAACAAUACUCCAUGAUUUUCUGAGUAGUAUCUGGAGAAGGUUUACUUAAACAGUCAUGGGAAAGAUGUGAUAUUUUGUGGGUACUAAUAAAACAGUGGUAGCACGUGACAGACAAAUAACUUCUAAAUGACUGUGGACAAUGCUAAUGUGAGUGUUGGUGUUGGCUAUUUUACUGUGGACAGCAUCUGAGCUGAUGGUAAAGUCACAGGUUCAUCUAAGAAUAAAGUGUACAGCAUACAAAUUUCUCUCUUUUGUUGCAGUGAGCCCAGGUGACAUAUGCAUCUCUGGGGGUCCUAUUCCAGUGAGACUGGCCAACAGUCAUUGCACAUGAUGUGAGAGCACCCAGGCAACCACCUGAUGUCUGCAUGCAACAGCAUCCAGACAGAUGAAGCCGAUCCUUGCACUGGGUUCUGAAUCACUGUACAUCUUGCUUCUUCAAGGUCCCUUGCUCUACUGGCUGCCCUCCUUUGCAUCAGAACCAUUAACAUCUCUCUCGAUCCUUCUCUACUUGCAAACACCCACGGUGUAGCAUCUCUAGUCCUUGCUACUCUAGGAGCUAAUACAAAAAAAAUUUUUUUGAACCCAUCACUUUGAGAUCCUGUUUAAAAAAAAAAGAAAAGAAAAAGAAAAGAAAGAAAAAGAAAUGCUCUGCUACAUUCCAACCUUUCCUCAAACCCAUACAUUUUCUACCACUGAUCUAUUUUUCUUUCUCCCUGAUGCCCCCACUCCUUGGACAUUUUGCUAACUACUCUUGUUCACUUCUUGCAACCCCUUCUCCAUGGCCCAGUCCUCCUCCUUCUGAGUCAGGUCUUGGUAUCACAUCACCCUCUCUGUAGUUAUUGUGUAUGAACAACCCCGGUGUGGAUAUUUUGUUCAUCUCUGAUUCAUCAUAGCAAUAAUUAGUAUCCCUUACCUGACCUCAGCUAAGACUCUUCUCUCACUUUCUGCAAAGACACGGCUACUGUUUCUAUUUCACUUACAUCUCCUCCUGGACCUUCUUUCCUCUGCCUUGCUUUUAAAUGCCAGCCUUCUGUAGGGUCCUGGCUCAGCUUCCCUGCUCUCAUUUUAUACAAUAUUUUUUAAAAGUAUUUUGCCAAUUCCUAUGGUUUCUGGUUCUCCCCCCCAAAGGUGAAGACUUGCCAAGUCUAUGUUUCCAGCUCAGAUCUCCAAGGUAAGUUCCAGAUCUCAGGAUUCAACAGCUUUGGUGAGUAACCAUCAAUUUUUGAACUCUAUGGGCUCCAAAUUGAGUUUAUAAUAAUUCCCUCUUUCAAAACUGUUUCUGCUCCUUCGUUAUUAGGAGCUGAAUGUAGGGCCUUGCCGUUGCAAGCAGGUGCUGUAAUAUGAAAUGCACGUCUAGUCCCCCUCCUUGGUUGUCUCUCUAUGAUAUGCCAUCCACAUCCUUUCAGUUGCCUAAACCAGAAACUGGAUCUCAUCCCUUGACUUCAUCCACCCUCUCUAUUUCUAAUCAAUGUUUAGGUUCUGUUGACUCCGUUUCCAGAAGUCGCUCUUGGGUCCGUCCACUUCUUUGCAUCCUCACUGCCAGCCUCUCCAUCUGUGCUAGCAUCAUCUUCCAGCCAGAUUUGUGUAAUGCAAUAGCUUUCUAAAGUAUCUUUCUGCAUUCUAUCUGAAUCUCAACACCAUGCAAUCAAUCCUGGCAGCACUAUUUAGUGGAUCCCAAUGCCUCAGGAGGAAAUCUACACAUUAUAGCAAGAGCUAUAAAGCUCCCCAAGCACACUCUAGGUUGGUUUACACUGUUAUUAGGAACCUUCAAGGGUACAUGUUCCAGCAUACAAAAACUGUGUUAUACUGAACAGACAUGCUAUAGCCUUAAACUUUGAGCUUUUGAGACAGGAUAUCUUUCUCUAAGACAUUUUAUGCCUCUUCUGCUCUGUCACUUGGUUCUCUGUCAUAUUUCCCUACUUGAUCACAUCCAUACCCCAGGAAACCCGUCUUAAUCCCCAAGGGCAGAGUAGGCUGGAGAUGUCCCUUUUAUAUAUCCACAAUGCUUCUUCUCUUUGUGCUACCAUUCCUGGCUUACUGUCUGUUUCCCCUAUAAACUCAGAGCUCCAUGAAGUAGGGUUUUCGUCAGUUUUGUUAAAUGCGUAUCCUUGUUGCCUAGCAGUUUCUGGUCCAAUAAAUCUUUCCUGAGUGAAAGAGUAAGUGACAGUGGGUAAAAGCCAAACUGAGAAAGCAUGAAUUGUUUCAUGGGCUGAGUAAAUACGUAGGGUAUAAUUUAACAAUGUUUACUUCUUGAACAUAGAAUCCAACUCCUUCCUUUUCCAUUUACUGAACCCGAGCUCCCAGGUUCCACCCUCAGUGAAGUUACUAGACUCCCCAAUUCCUUUGUGUGUCCAUAUUCCAAUCAGACCCUCUGUGGGAUUUCUAGGCAGUGAUUUUCUCUGUCCCUGUGUACUUGGCUGCAGACUGCUGAGACUGCAGACUGUGUCUAGUUCGUUCAGUGUUCCCAGCACUAAGCCUAGUAAAUGUUCAUUAAACAUUGCAAACAAAUAUGGGGAUGGAAAGGGAACAUGCAUUUUAAGAUGUUCAUUGAAGCAAUGAAGAUGCUACUGAUGGGAGGAAUGAGUCAUUUGCAGCCGGGAUGAGGGAAAGCAGUAGGAAGGGAAGGUGACACAAAGGAAUGGGGUGACUGUUGCCAGGGGAAGUUGGCUCUAGGCAAGUGAGAAAAGGGAUACUUGGGGCGCUGUGGAAGGGACUCAGAGACCUUCAGAGUGACAGAGAAGACAUGCAGAUGGGUGGAGGACUUGACCCUGGGAACAGAAGAGUUUGGGGACAAAUGGAACAAGAAAGGCAGUCCAGAGAGCUUAUGCCCUCACCGGCCCAGCCCUCCUUUGCCCUUCAUUCAGAGGUUCCUGUCGCUCUCUCUCCUUGGUACUGGCUCUGUGAACUGGAUGUUAAAGGAAAAGAAAGCUAGACCUGCUGACAAGAAGAGGUCCUUGUUUCCCGGCUGUGUGAUGCUGAGCUCGGGGAUGAUCUGAGUAGCUAUGGCAGAGCAAAGAUUUGAGAUUGCAUUCUACCCUCUCUACCCACAAUUCCAAGCUGUGAAAGCACUGUCUUC